AAUGAACGCUGGCGGCAGGCCUAACACAUGCAAGUCGAGCGGAUGAACGGAGCUUGUUCCUGUCUUCCGCUGCCGACGGGCGAGUAAUGCCUAGGUAUCUGCCCUGUAGUGGGGGCUAACGUCCGGUAACGGGAGCUGAUAUAGCAUCCGAUCUGAUGGUGAACGUGGUGGAUCUUUGGAGCACGCGCUAUCUGCUGAGCCUAGGUCGGAUUAGCUAGUUGGUGGGGUAAAGGCCUACCAAGGCGACGAUCCGUAACUGAUCUGAGAGGAUGAUCAGUCACACUGGAACUGAGACACGGUCCAGACUCCUACGGGAGGCAGCAGUGGGGAAUAUUGGACAAUGGGCGAAAGCCUGAUCCAGCCAUGCCGCGUGUGUGAAGAAGGUCUUCGGAUUGUAAAGCACUGUAAGUUGGGAGGAAGGGCAGUAAGAGAAAAUCUGGCUGUUUUGACGGUACCAACAGAAUAAGCACCGGCUAACUUCGUG
rnacentral:rRNA from 1 species